AGUAGCCAGGAGACAGGACAUGAGAGAUGGAUGACAUUUCUGCUCAAAGUAGUUUUUAAACCUUGUUUUCACCUGAAAUAUUGUGCUGACCCAUUUUAAAGUACAUGACUAUUUUGUCACUUUAUAGAGCAGACUUCCAUUGUUUGUCAUGAAGCUGUGUUUGACUGUAGAAGCUGAGUUGGCCAGGCUUCUCUUUUUGAUGGCCAGCUAAGAAAGAAGCAUCUAGUCCAAGGAUGGGUUUUGGAAGAUUCCAUCCAGGAAGCUGAGCACCACCUGGUCUGUCCGGGCAGUGUGCGGCCCUCAGUGGAAAAAGUUUGGACACCCCUGGUCUACAUUGAAACACAGGGCGGCGGAUGGACGGGGGAGGGGGGUCUUAAACGGUGGCAUUGUUGUGUGUGGACAAGGAUAAGGUUAGGUGGGAUUCACCCUGCAUAACCUUAUCCAGCUCAGUGUAGAAGGAGCCUUACUUGUCCACUGUCAAAUAUACACAACAUGGAAAAUAGAUGAUUAGGAAGCCAGAGUCGGCGUGAUCAGAUCAUCACAGCACCCCCACUUCCUGGUACUCGCGGACCACCCCCCCUCCCCCGGACUGUCUAGGCAGCAUCUGCCCAGGAAAAUAAAACCCCCGUUUCCUUCACGUGUAGUGAGGAUGAUUUGCAUAACGUCCCCCUCUGUAAGGUGAAAACAGAAUAAUAAUUGGCUUGCCCUUUUCUCUCUGCGUGUUGUAAAACAGUUAGGAAUUAAUUUGAGGAUAACUGUGCAAUUAAUUCUAAAUGCUAAAGACGGUGCGAGGGCUUUGAAUGUAAAGGAUGCACGGACGGAGGUCAGCGAGCAAAGACUUGUGGAACUCUGCUGCAUCCAAACAUCACCUGCUGUGUUUACCUUGGACUUUUGUAUUGCUUUGACCAUCCCUAUUGUUUCAUUUCAUUUCAUUAUUUCUUUCAUUCAUUUUAAAUAAAUGCAACAACAGCAUUUAGCAAGGAUGAAAGGGAGUAUAAACAAAGUCAAACUUAUCAUAUCUGGUCCCAGGGCGACCAUCAAGUUUAUUGUCUCACACACAUACUCCUUCUCCAGUCUUCUGUUCGGACUUCUACUGUCAAAUGUUUUUAUUUGAUUCCCAUCCGA